rnacentral:piRNA from 1 species
GCCGAGGAAGCCAGAUACCGUCGCCGCG